rnacentral:lncRNA from 1 species
AUUAAAUUCUGUGGGACAUAGGUGAUCCCAUUCCUUCAUGGAACGGGACGCCUCACCAUCCCACCCCAUCCUGGUAGCAAUGUUGAUCAUAUGUCCCAAUAGAUAUCCUCCGUAUUUCUUGCAUUCUUCUUUUCUUUCUUUCUUUUUCUUUUUUCUUUCCUUCUACCUUCCUUCCAUUCUUUUCUUUUUAUUUAUUUUUCUUAUUUCUUUUUAUUUUGUUCUUUUUUUUCUUUUCCUUUUCUUUCUUCCUUCUUUCCUUCCUUUCUUUAUUUUUCUUCUCCCUUCCUUUUCUUCUUUACUUUUUCUACUUCUUAUUUCCUUUCACUUUUUCUUUUUCUUAAUCUCUCCU